rnacentral:rRNA from 1 species
GAUGAACGCUGGCGGCGUGCCUAAUACAUGCAAGUCGAGCGAACGGACGAGAAGCUUGCUUCUCUGAUGUUAGCGGCGGACGGGUGAGUAACACGUGGAUAACCUACCUAUAAGACUGGGAUAACUUCGGGAAACCGUAGCUAAUACCGGAUAAUAUUUUGAACCGCAUGGUUCAAAAGUGAAAGACGGUCUUGCUGUCACUUAUAGAUGGAUCCGCGCUGCAUUAGCUAGUCGGUAAGGUAACGGCUUACCAAGGCAACGAUGCAUAGCCGACCUGAGAGGGUGAUCGGCCACACGGGAGCUGAGACACGGUCCAGACUCCUACGGGAGGCAGCAGUAGGGAAUCUUCCGCAAUGGGCGAAAGCCUGACGGAGCAACGCCGCGUGAGUGAUGAAGGUCUUCGGAUCGUAAAACUCUGUUAUUAGGGAAGAACAUAUGUGUAAGUAACUGUGCACAUCUUGACGGUACCUAAUCAGAAAGCCCCGGCUAACUACGUG